rnacentral:rRNA from 1 species
GAUGAACGCUGGCGGCGUGCCUAAUACAUGCAAGUCGAGCGAACAGACGAGGAGCUUGCUCCUCUGACGUUAGCGGCGGACGGGUGAGUAACACGUGGAUAACCUACCUAUAAGACUGGGAUAACUUCGGGAAACCGGAGCUAAUACCGGAUAAUAUAUUGAACCGCAUGGUUCAAUUGUGAAAGACGGUUUUGCUGUCACUUAUAGAUGGAUCCGCGCCGCAUUAGCUAGUUGGUAAGGUAACGGCUUACCAAGGCGACGAUGCGUAGCCGACCUGAGAGGGUGAUCGGCCACACUGGAACUGAGACACGGUCCAGACUCCUACGGGAGGCAGCAGUAGGGAAUCUUCCGCAAUGGGCGAAAGCUUGACGGAGCAACGCCGCGUGAGUGAUGAAGGUCUUCGGAUCGUAAAACUCUGUUAUUAGGGAAGAACAAAUGUGUAAGUAACUAUGCACGUCUUGACGGUACCUAAUCAGAAAGCCACGGCUAACUACGUG